GAGUCCCUUGCGGGCACUUUUCACCAUUAUCACCAGUAAAACAAGAUCCUGAUUCAUCAUUCAAAUGAGAUUUCUGUUCUAGUGGUCCCUUACUUGAGAGAGAUUCAAUGUCAAAUGUUUCAUCUGCAGAUUUACACUCUGUACUCUCCCACAUAACCUGCUUACCCUUGCUAUUGGUCGCAUGCAAAUGAGCACAAAAAGGAGGGUUCCUUUGCCGACAUUCGUGACACUUGAAUCCAAUUAGCUUAGUAAUUCUUUCGGCUGUAAGACCGAAAGCAUCUCCAUGGAACCAGUCUCCACAAACUUCACAUGCAAUGUAAUUUGAAGUAGGUGUAUAUUCUAGUUCACCACAAAGACUGCACUUUGGCUGAUCAGCUGCGCCGCCCAAUUCUCCAGAAAGAACAAGAAGCUUUUUACUCCUGAAGAGUGUCACUCUUUCAUCUUUUGGCUUUUGUGAGAGCAAUAGACCAUUCAGCCAGUAAAUCCGACAUAACUGCAUUCUCUUCCUCCGCCAAGCGACUUCUGCUGGUUUCUUUUUCUCUGAUAUGUCAACUUUUGCAUGUUUCCUAGGCCUACCCCUCCCCCUUCCAGAUUUUGUUUGUUUACCUUUCUUGCGUCCUAUUUUUUUGUUUUGCACAACUACAAAUUUAGCCCUCCUUGCAGAACGUCUGAGGGGUAUAACCACAGGCUUCUUUUUGCUACUUGGCGACUGUGCUGGCUGUUUAUUUUUGGUGCCUCCAGAUAUAACCUUUAAGCGCAGCGGCCUCAAGGCUUUUGAUGCUUCCUCACUCUUCUGCAUCUCUAUCCUCCCCCUCUUCACAUUCUUCCUCACAUUAUUCACAUCCAUACACUUGUGACAUGUAUGCUUAAACUCAGCAGCAACGACUCCAGUGGACUUUCUAACAUGUCGUUUAUGGAAAAAACCUUUGCAGUACUGACAGCUAACAGCUUCCCUAAUUAGGACAUCUUUGUUACAAUGCCCACACUGAUAAUACUCUGAUCUCUCUGCUUUAAGGAAAAGGUAUGCAAAUCCCUUUUCCUUAAGAGGCUUUUUCAUUAUUCUCUUCGUUUCACGAUGUUUCCCGACAGUUAUCUUGCUAGAUUUGCGAGCAAUUCUUUUCUCCUCAAACCCUUUCACAAGAUGCAAGGGCAUGUGAGCUUCUUCUAACCAAUAUCUCUUUCUU
rnacentral:misc_RNA from 1 species